GCAGGUGGGAGUGCGACAGUCCCCAACUACCAAUGGGAUCAUGUAACUUUUUGCCCCAACCAGUCUUCCAUCAUCCGAACAAUGGGUGGGCUUUCUUGCUUACAUAUCAGAAUGAAGCUUCACAGCAAGUUCAACUUUCCAUUCUCAGUCACAGGGCAGGAGAGUACACAGGAAAGGAAUGUCCAAAAAUAGUAUUCACAUUCUAGGGAUGGUGGCACAGAAGCAACAGAAAGGAAUUGCAUAUUUAAAUGACCUGCUGAAGGACUGUGAUGUUCCUGCUUAUAGUGUAAAUAUGAUGAUGGGGCCCCUAUAUCCCUCAGCUUCUUUGUGGAAAUAAGAAUGACCAAGCACACAAUCAGCACAAUUUUCCAGAUGAAGUUUGUUGUGUGACAAUGAGGAACAGAGCCUUCCUUGUGGUAACACCCCCGCUCUAGAAUGCUGUCCCUGUAGGGAUGUGACUGGCAUCAACAUUACAAUCAUUUCAGAGUUGAGUCGAAACUAAUUUACCCAGGCAUUUUAAAGCUUUAAAGCUGGUA